GCACACUGAAAAUUACCUAUGGCACUGCCAAUUACCAUGGGUAAGAUUAGUGUGCCUACAUUAAAUGGUACACUAAAGCUUAUUGCCUACUUUUGUUGUUUGUGGUCAAUAAAACCCGUGUGCCAAUAAAU